CAAAAAGCUAGAUGACAGUGGAACCAUGCAGAGAUCAAAAACGGUGCAACAGGAAACUAGGAAAGCAGAAAACAGAAAUAGUGUAAUUUUGUAACAUUAACAGGGUCUCCAGAAGCUGUGAGUGGGAUGAGACACUACCACUUCCAACAGUGCGAUGGGCUCUGUGAUCUGGCACACCGGACCUCUCAUGAGCCCUUAAAACAGAGAACUUUUGCUGGCAGCAGGAACGGCCAGUCAGAGGGAUUCCAAACCUGAAAAGGUUUUGUUCAGCCCCUGGUGACUUGAAAGUUGAGGCAGCCAGGUGAUGAGGAAGGCAGCGGCCUUCAGGAUCUGGGAGCAGAGCAGCCCCCAGCUGACAGCCAGCAGGGGAACAGGGAGCAGACCUCAGUCCUACAACCACAAGCAACUGGAUCCUGCCAACCUGAAGGAAGCUGGAGAUGGAUUCCUGCCCAGAUUCUCCAGGUUUUGUCAUGCGCGUCCGUGUGAAGAGACCACCAAACAAGCUUUGUGUGAGCAACAUGGCUGUUUAUUUCACCUGGGUGCAGGCAGUCUGAGUUUGAAAAGAGAAUCAGCAAAUGGUGGUGGGAUUAUCAUUAGUUCUUACAGGUUUUGGGAUAGGCGGUAGAGUUAGGAGCAAUGUUUUGUGGGCAGCGGGGGGAUCUCACAAAGUACAUUCUCAAGGGUGAGGAGAAUUACAAAGAACCUUCUUAAGCGUGGGGGAGAUUAAAAAGAACCUUCUUAAGGGUAGGGGAGAUUACAAAAUACAUUGAUCAGUUAGGGU
rnacentral:lncRNA from 1 species